UAGCGUAAUCACUUGUCCUCUAAUUGGGGACUGGUAUGAACGGCCCCAUGAGGGCCUAACUGUCUCCUCUGACCCGUCAAUGAACCUGAUCUUCCAGUACAAAAGCUGGACUAAACCCAUAAGACGAGAAGACCCUGUGGAGCUUCAGAUUUCGCGCUAAAACACCUGUUACAUAGCGCGCCUCUUCAGUUGGGGCAACUACGGAAUAAAACAAAACUUCCAUGCCACGGACUAUGUCCCACAAAGGCACACACUCCAAUGUGAUCCCCAAACGACCCAGCACAGCUGAUUAACGAACCAAGUUACCCCAGGGAUAACAGCGCCAUCCUCUUCAAGAGCCCCUAUCGUCAAGAGGGUUUACGACCUCGAUGUUGGAUCAGGACCCCCAGGUGGUGCAGCCGCUACCAAAGGUUCG
rnacentral:rRNA from 1 species